rnacentral:rRNA from 1 species
UGGGCGUAAAGAGCUCGUAGGCGGUUUGUCGCGUCUGCUGUGAAAUCCCGAGGCUCAACCUCGGGUCUGCAGUGGGUACGGGCAGACUAGAGUGCGGUAGGGGAGAUUGGAAUUCCUGGUGUAGCGGUGGAAUGCGCAGAUAUCAGGAGGAACACCGAUGGCGAAGGCAGAUCUCUGGGCCGUAACUGACGCUGAGGAGCGAAAGCAUGGGGAGCGAACAGGAUUAGAUACCCUGGUAGUCCAUGCCGUAAACGUUGGGAACUAGAUGUGGGGACCAUUCCACGGUCUCCGUGUCGCAGCUAACGCAUUAAGUUCCCCGCCUGGGGAGUACGGCCGCAAGGCUAAAACUCAAAGGAAUUGACGGGGGCCCGCACAAGCGGCGGAGCAUGCGGAUUAAUUCGAUGCAACGCGAAGAACCUUACCAAGGCUUGACAUAUACCGGAAACAUGCAGAAAUGUGUGCCCCGCAAGGUCGGUAUACAGGUGGUGCAUGGUUGUCGUCAGCUCGUGUCGUGAGAUGUUGGGUUAAGUCCCGCAACGAGCGCAACCCUCGUUCUAUGUUGCCAGCACGUAAUGGUGGGAACUCAUAGGAGACUGCCGGGGUCAACUCGGAGGAAGGUGGGGAUGACGUCAAAUCAUCAUGCCCCUUAUGUCUUGGGCUUCACGCAUGCUACAAUGGCCGGUACAAAGGGCUGCGAUACCGUAAGGUGGAGCGAAUCCCAAAAAGCCGGUCUCAGUUCGGAUUGAGGUCUGCAACUCGACCUCAUGAAGUCGGAGUCGCUAGUAAUCGCAGAUCAGCAACGCUGCGGUGAAUACGUUCCCGGGCCUUGUACACACCGCCCGUCAAGUCAUGAAAGUCGGUAACACCCGAAGCCAGUGGCCUAACCGCAAGGGAGGAGCUUCGA